CAAUAGCGUAUAUUAAAGUUGUUGCAGUUAAAAAGCUCGUAGUAGGAUUUCUGAUCGAGACAUCAGGUCGGGUCCGAGAGGAUCAUGUACUUUGAUUUUGUUUUGAUCAUCCUUGGGGAGAGCAUUUCUGGCAUUCAGUUGUCGGGAUUGGGAUCCUCAUCGUUUACUGUGAAAAAAUUAGAGUGUUCAAAGCAGGCCUCGGCCUCUGAAUACAUUAGCAUGGAAUAAUAAGAUAGGACUUUGGUGGUCUAUUUUGUUGGUUUGCACGCCAAAGUAAUGAUUAAUAGGGAUAGUUGGGGGUAUUCGUAUUCAAUUGUCAGAGGUGAAAUUCUUGGAUUUAUGGAAGACGAAAUACUGCGAAAGCAUUUACCAAGGAUGUUUUCAUUAA
rnacentral:rRNA from 1 species